AUAUUGGUCAAUGGGCGAAAGCCUGAACCAGCCAUGCCGCGUGAGUGAUGAAGGCCUUAGGGUUGUAAAGCUCUUUCGACGGGGAAGAUAAUGACGGUACCCGUAGAAGAAGCCCCGGCUAACUUCGUGCCAGCAGCCGCGGUAAUACGAAGGGGGCUAGCGUUGUUCGGAAUCACUGGGCGUAAAGCGCGCGUAGGCGGGUCGUUAAGUCAGGGGUGAAAUCCCGAGGCUCAACCUCGGAACUGCCUUUGAUACUGGCGACCUGGAGUCCGGGAGAGGUGAGUGGAACUCCUAGUGUAGAGGUGAAAUUCGUAGAUAUUAGGAAGAACACCAGUGGCGAAGGCGGCUCACUGGCCCGGUACUGACGCUGAUGCGCGAAAGCGUGGGGAGCAAACAGG
rnacentral:rRNA from 1 species